rnacentral:rRNA from 1 species
UACAGAGGGUGCAAGCGUUGUUCGGAAUUAUUGGGCGUAAAGGGCGCGUAGGCGGUGCGGUAAGUCUGUAGUGAAAUCUCUGGGCUCAACUCAGAGUCUGCUGCAGAAACUGCCGUGCUUGAGUGUGGGAGAGGUGAGUGGAAUUCCCGGUGUAGCGGUGAAAUGCGCAGAUAUCGGGAGGAACACCUAUGGCGAAGGCAGCUCGCUGGGACGUUACUGACGCUGAGACGCGAAAGCGUGGGGAGCAAACAGG